CUUUUCAAAGCAGGCAGGAUGACAGGAACACGGAACCUGAACCCAGUGCUUUCUAAGAGUGACGGAACAAUCAGCUGUCUUUUAAGAAGCCUCCAACUGCCCUUCAAGAAAGGCGCCUUUGAUGAAGAGGAUUCUUACUAGGUCCAGCGGAAGGCAUGAAAGGUCCAAUUGUACCAGCAGUUGUCAAACUUAAAUGUGCAUCAGAAUCCCUUUACAGAUUUCUUGGUUUAGCAAACCAUCAGCUUUCAAGGGAUGCUUCUCUGAGAACACUGUGUGCCCACGACCAUCGCUCAAGUCAUUUUCUGGAUCAAAAGUAAUGAGGCAGUGACAGGCUUUAAUUGGCUUUUGCUUCUCAACGACUACAAUGUCACCCACCAAAGAGGAAUUACUUCUCUACUUAAACAUCAAAGCUAGAAAUAAGAGAAAAAACAUUCCAGUUGACCUGGCAACACUCAGAACUGGGCUCUGAGCUCCCACGCUGCGGCGUGAACAGACCAUGUGUGCAUGUGCGUGGAAGCCCGGGGAAUUGUCUACGGUGUCCCAGGACCAGCUGGUGUGGCACAGGGCCGCCUUAGCAGAGGGACACACCCACGUCCACAGCCUCACUCCCGGUGGCCAAGGAGGGGGAAGCAGCCCGAAUCC